rnacentral:rRNA from 1 species
GAACGCUGGCGGAAUGCUUUACACAUGCAAGUCGAACGGCAGCACGGACUUCGGUCUGGUGGCGAGUGGCGAACGGGUGAGUAAUACAUCGGAACGUGCCCAGUCGUGGGGGAUAACGUAGCGAAAGCUACGCUAAUACCGCAUACGAUCUACGGAUGAAAGCGGGGGAUCGCAAGACCUCGCGCGAUUGGAGCGGCCGAUGGCAGAUUAGGUAGUUGGUGGGGUAAAGGCGCACCAAGCCGACGAUCUGUAGCUGGUCUGAGAGGACGACCAGCCACACUGGGACUGAGACACGGCCCAGACUCCUACGGGAGGCAGCAGUGGGGAAUUUUGGACAAUGGGCGCAAGCCUGAUCCAGCCAUUCCGCGUGCAGGAUGAAGGCCCUCGGGUUGUAAACUGCUUUUGUACGGAACGAAAAGGCUCUGGUUAAUACCUGGGGCUCAUGACGGUACCGUAAGAAUAAGCACCGGCUAACUACGUGCCAGCAGCCGCGGUAAUACGUAGGGUGCAAGCGUUAAUCGGAAUUACUGGGCGUAAAGCGUGCGCAGGCGGUGAUGUAAGACAGAGGUGAAAUCCCCGGCUCAACCUGGGAACUGCCUUUUGACUGCAUCCGCUGGAGUACGGCAGAGGGGAUGGAAUUCCGCGUGUAGCA